rnacentral:tRNA from 2 species
GGAGAGAUGGCAGAGCGGUCGAAUGCGCGUGACUCGAAAUCCCGUUUACCCUUUCGGGUAACAAGGGUUCAAAUCCCUUUCUCUCCGCCA